rnacentral:rRNA from 1 species
UAGUAACUGCGAGUGAAGAGGGAAAAGCUCAAAUUUAAAAUCUGGCAGCUUUGCUGUCCGAGUUGUAAUUUAGAGAAGUGUUACCCGCGUUGGACCGUGUACAAGUCUCCUGGAAUGGAGCGUCAUAGAGGGUGAGAAUCCCGUCUUUGACACGGACUGCCAAGGCAUUGUGGUACGCUCUCAAAGAGUCGAGUUGUUUGGGAAUGCAGCUCUAAAUGGGUGGUAAAUUCCAUCUAAAGCUAAAUAUUGGCGAGAGACCGAUAGCAAACAAGUACCGUGAGGGAAAGAUGAAAAGAACUUUGGAAAGAGAGUUAAACAGUACGUGAAAUUGUUGAAAGGGAAACGCUUAAAGUCCAGUCGCGUUGGCUAAGAAUCAGCCUUGGUUUUUUCCUUGGUGCACUUCCUAGUUGACGGGUCAACAUCAGUUUUGACUGUUGGAUAAAGAUCAAGGGAAUGUGGCACCCUCGGGUGUGUUAUAGCUUUUGGUUGUAUACAACGGUUGGGACUGAGGAACUCAGCACGCCGCAAGGCCAGGUGUUUGUACCAUGUACGUGC